UCAUUUAGAGGACGUAAAAGUCGUAACAAGGUCUCCGUUGGUGAACCAGCGGAGGGAUCAUUACUGAGUUUACGCUCUAUAACCCUUUGUGAACAUACCUAUAACUGUUGCUUCGGCGGGUAGGGUCUCCGCGACCCUCCCGGCCUCCCGCCUCCGGGCGGGUCGGCGCCCGCCGGAGGAUAACCAAACUCUGAUUUAACGACGUUUCUUCUGAGUGGUACAAGCAAAUAAUCAAAACUUUUAACAACGGAUCUCUUGGUUCUGGCAUCGAUGAAGAACGCAGCGAAAUGCGAUAAGUAAUGUGAAUUGCAGAAUUCAGUGAAUCAUCGAAUCUUUGAACGCACAUUGCGCCCGCCAGCAUUCUGGCGGGCAUGCCUGUUCGAGCGUCAUUUCAACCCUCAAGCUCUGCUUGGUGUUGGGGCCCUACAGCUGAUGUAGGCCCUCAAAGGUAGUGGCGGACCCUCCCGGAGCCUCCUUUGCGUAGUAACUUUACGUCUCGCACUGGGAUCCGGAGGGACUCUUGCCGUAAAACCCCCCAAUUUUCCAAAGGUUGACCUCGGAUCAGGUAGGAAUACCCGCUGAACUUAAGCAUAUCAAUAAGCGGAGG
rnacentral:rRNA from 1 species